GUGAGCAUAGCUCAAUGGAUUGAGUAUUCCUUGGAAUUAAGGUGGUCAUGGGUUUGAGUCCCAUUGCACACA
rnacentral:tRNA from 1 species